rnacentral:rRNA from 1 species
UUAAGCGACUAAGCGUACACGGUGGAUGCCCUGGCAGUCAGAGGCGAUGAAGGACGUGCUAAUCUGCGAUAAGCGUCGGUAAGGUGAUAUGAACCGUUAUAACCGGCGAAUUUCCGAAUGGGGAAACCCAGUGUGUUUCGACACACUAUCAUUAACUGAAUCCAUAGGUUAAUGAGGCGAACCGGGGGAACUGAAACAUCUAAGUACCCCGAGGAAAAGAAAUCAACCGAGAUUCCCCCAGUAGCGGCGAGCGGACGGGGAGGAGCCCAGAGCCUGAAUCAGUGUGUGUGUUAGUGGAAGCGUCUGGAAAGGCGCGCGAUACAGGGUGACAGCCCCGUACACAAAAAUACACAUAUUGUGAGCUCGAUGAGUAGGGCGGGACACGUGGUAUCCUGUCUGAAUAUGGGGGGACCAUCCUCCAAGGCUAAAUACUCCUGACUGACCGAUAGUGAACCAGUACCGUGAGGGAAAGGCGAAAAGAACCCCGGCGAGGGGAGUGAAAAAGAACCUGAAACCGUGUACGUACAAGCAGUGGGAGCACGCUUAGGCGUGUGACUGCGUACCUUUUGUAUAAUGGGUCAGCGACUUAUAUUCUGUAGCAAGGUUAACCGAAUAGGGGAGCCGAAGGGAAACCGAGUCUUAACUGGGCGUUAAGUUGCAGGGUAUAGACCCGAAACCCGGUGAUCUAGCCAUGGGCAGGUUGAAGGUUGGGUAACACUAACUGGAGGACCGAACCGACUAAUGUUGAAAAAUUAGCGGAUGACUUGUGGCUGGGGGUGAAAGGCCAAUCAAACCGGGAGAUAGCUGGUUCUCCCCGAAAGCUAUUUAGGUAGCGCCUCGUGAAUUCAUCUCCGGGGGUAGAGCACUGUUUCGGCAAGGGGGUCAUCCCGACUUACCAACCCGAUGCAAACUGCGAAUACCGGAGAAUGUUAUCACGGGAGACACACGGCGGGUGCUAACGUCCGUCGUGAAGAGGGAAACAACCCAGACCGCCAGCUAAGGUCCCAAAGUCAUGGUUAAGUGGGAAACGAUGUGGGAAGGCCCAGACAGCCAGGAUGUUGGCUUAGAAGCAGCCAUCAUUUAAAGAAAGCGUAAUAGCUCACUGGUCGAGUCGGCCUGCGCGGAAGAUGUAACGGGGCUAAACCAUGCACCGAAGCUGCGGCAGCGACGCUUAUGCGUUGUUGGGUAGGGGAGCGUUCUGUAAGCCUGCGAAGGUGUGCUGUGAGGCAUGCUGGAGGUAUCAGAAGUGCGAAUGCUGACAUAAGUAACGAUAAAGCGGGUGAAAAGCCCGCUCGCCGGAAGACCAAGGGUUCCUGUCCAACGUUAAUCGGGGCAGGGUGAGUCGACCCCUAAGACGAGGCCGAAAGGCGUAGUCGAUGGGAAACAGGUUAAUAUUCCUGUACUUGGUGUUACUGCGAAGGGGGGACGGAGAAGGCUAUGUUGGCCGGGCGACGGUUGUCCCGGUUUAAGCGUGUAGGCUGGUUUUCCAGGCAAAUCCGGAAAAUCAAGGCUGAGGCGUGAUGACGAGGCACUACGGUGCUGAAGCAACAAAUGCCCUGCUUCCAGGAAAAGCCUCUAAGCAUCAGGUAACAUCAAAUCGUACCCCAAACCGACACAGGUGGUCAGGUAGAGAAUACCAAGGCGCUUGAGAGAACUCGGGUGAAGGAACUAGGCAAAAUGGUGCCGUAACUUCGGGAGAAGGCACGCUGAUAUGUAGGUGAAGUCCCUUGCGGAUGGAGCUGAAAUCAGUCGAAGAUACCAGCUGGCUGCAACUGUUUAUUAAAAACACAGCACUGUGCAAACACGAAAGUGGACGUAUACGGUGUGACGCCUGCCCGGUGCCGGAAGGUUAAUUGAUGGGGUCAGCGCAAGCGAAGCUCUUGAUCGAAGCCCCGGUAAACGGCGGCCGUAACUAUAACGGUCCUAAGGUAGCGAAAUUCCUUGUCGGGUAAGUUCCGACCUGCACGAAUGGCGUAAUGAUGGCCAGGCUGUCUCCACCCGAGACUCAGUGAAAUUGAACUCGCUGUGAAGAUGCAGUGUACCCGCGGCAAGACGGAAAGACCCCGUGAACCUUUACUAUAGCUUGACACUGAACAUUGAGCCUUGAUGUGUAGGAUAGGUGGGAGGCUUUGAAGUGUGGACGCCAGUCUGCAUGGAGCCGGCCUUGAAAUACCACCCUUUAAUGUUUGAUGUUCUAACGUGGACCCGUGAUCCGGGUUGCGGACAGUGUCUGGUGGGUAGUUUGACUGGGGCGGUCUCCUCCUAAAGAGUAACGGAGGAGCACGAAGGUUGGCUAAUCCUGGUCGGACAUCAGGAGGUUAGUGCAAUGGCAUAAGCCAGCUUGACUGCGAGCGUGACGGCGCGAGCAGGUGCGAAAGCAGGUCAUAGUGAUCCGGUGGUUCUGAAUGGAAGGGCCAUCGCUCAACGGAUAAAAGGUACUCCGGGGAUAACAGGCUGAUACCGCCCAAGAGUUCAUAUCGACGGCGGUGUUUGGCACCUCGAUGUCGGCUCAUCACAUCCUGGGGCUGAAGUAGGUCCCAAGGGUAUGGCUGUUCGCCAUUUAAAGUGGUACGCGAGCUGGGUUUAGAACGUCGUGAGACAGUUCGGUCCCUAUCUGCCGUGGGCGCUGGAGAACUGAGGGGGGCUGCUCCUAGUACGAGAGGACCGGAGUGGACGCAUCACUGGUGUUCGGGUUGUCAUGCCAAUGGCACUGCCCGGUAGCUAAAUGCGGAAGAGAUAAGUGCUGAAAGCAUCUAAGCACGAAACUUGCCCCGAGAUGAGUUCUCCCUGACCCUUUAAGGGUCCUGAAGGAACGUUGAAGACGACGACGUUGAUAGGCCGGGUGUGUAAGCGCAGCGAUGCGUUGAGCUAACCGGUACUAAUGAACCGUGAGGCUUAACCUU